rnacentral:tRNA from 1 species
AUUUACUUAGUUUAAUGAGAACGAGGGUUUGUGGUAUCCUAGGUACAUAAGUAGUAAAUA